AAGAGCUUGAUCAUGGCGGAUAAACAGUUAGUGCGGAUAUGUGACGGGUGGACAGACGAUGGAUUACUGUAUAUUAAAAAAAUGGAAAAAGAACACUGAAGUACUGAUGAUUAAGUAUACAAGAUUCCUAAGGUUGAGGUAUGAGGCUACUCUGAAUAUGAAGAGCAAUACUGUUUAACACUACAUGUGAAAGAGUGCACAACCAGAAGGUUGAAAUCUACCAGGGUUGUCACUGUAGAAUGCCAGACAGUGGAGAUCCAUCAACUGGAUUAGCUGACCUCGACCACCAUGGUGGUUACUGCAGUUCUUUUGGUAGAAAUCUUUUUUUUCCCCUUACACACAAUGCACAUAUGUGCAUACAC